UUCAAUUUUGUAUUAAUUACUCUUUGUCAUUUAUACCUUCAAUAACUACUAUUGUGUUGCAUAAUUUCUAACAAAAAAGGUUAAUUUAGUAAAAUGUUACUCUCAUAUAUUUAUUAAUUUUCAGUUUAAGAGAUGGAGAUCUGAUUCAGAGGUUUGAUUCGAGGAGUACUCGAUCCAGAGCUGGUUCGUGAAUGCAAAUUUUGAUGGAGGACCAUGACGCAACAACUAGUUCAAUAGAGGUGUUGCGAUGCCUACAGUCACUCCGACGCUCAAGUUUGUAAGAUUCUUA
rnacentral:lncRNA from 1 species